UACGAAGGGGGCGAGCGUUGUUCGGAUUUACUGGGCGUAAAGGGCGCGCAGGCGGUUCUGUUUGUCGAGUGUGAAAGCCCCGGGCUCAACCUGGGAACUGCAUUGGUGACUGGCGGGCUAGAGUAUGGCAGAGGGGGGUAGAAUUCCACGUGUAGCAGUGAAAUGCGUAGAGAUGUGGAGGAAUACCGAUGGCGAAGGCAGCCCCCUGGGCCAAUACUGACGCUCAUGCACGAAAGCGUGGGGAGCAAACAGG
rnacentral:rRNA from 1 species